rnacentral:rRNA from 1 species
UGCUUAAUACAUGCAAGUCGUGCGAGAAAGUACCCUUCGGGGUGCGAGUAGAGCGGCGAACGGGUGAGUAACACGUAAGCAACCUGCCUCUAAAUCUGGGAUAACCUUGCUAACGCGGGGCUAAUACCGGAUGUGAUCCAUAAAUCACAUGGUUAUUGGAUUAAAGGUGACCUCUUCUUGAAAGUUACUGUUUAGAGAUGGGCUUGCGGACCAUUAGCUUGUUGGUAGGGUAACGGCCUACCAAGGCUGCGAUGGUUAGCCGACCUGAGAGGGUGAUCGGCCACAUUGGGACUGAGAUACGGCCCAGACUCCUACGGGAGGCAGCAGUAGGGAAUUUUGCGCAAUGGACGAAAGUCUGACGCAGCAACUCCGCGUGAGGGAUGAAGGCCUUCGGGUUGUAAACCUCUGUUGAGUGGGAAGAAAAAGCCUUAUACUAAUAUUAUAAGGCCAUGACGGUACCAUUCGAGGAAGCACCGGCUAACUACGUGCCAGCAGCCGCGGUAAUACGUAGGGUGCUAGCGUUGUUCGGAAUUACUGGGCGUAAAGAGAGCGUAGGCGGAAAGGUAAGUUAGAAGUGAAAUGCAUCGGCUCAAUCGGUGACCUGCUUUUAAAACUGCUUUUCUUGAGUAUUGGAGAGGAUGAUGGAAUUCCAGGUGUAGCGGUGGAAUGCGUAGAUAUCUGGAAGAACACCAGUUGCGAAGGCGGUCAUCUGGCCAAAUACUGACGCUGAGGCUCGAAAGCUAGGGGAGCGAACAGGAUUAGAUACCCUGGUAGUCCUAGCCGUAAACGAUGGACACUAGAUGCCGGAAGUGUUAUGCUUUCGGUGUCGAAGCUAACGCAUUAAGUGUCCCGCCUGGGGAGUACGCUCGCAAGGGUGAAACUCAAAGGAAUUGACGGGGGCCCGCACAAGCGGUGGAGCAUGUGCUUUAAUUCGAUGCAACGCGAAGAACCUUACCUGGUCUUGACAUGGGAGUGAAACUAUCCAGAGAUGGAAAGCUUUCCUUCGGGAACACUCUACACAGGUGCUGCAUGGUUGUCGUCAGCUCGUGUCGUGAGAUGUUGGGUUAAGUCCCGCAACGAGCGCAACCCCUGUCCUUAGUUGCCAGCACGUCAUGGUGGGAACUCUAGGGAGACUGCCUGGAUUAACCAGGAGGAAGGUGGGGAUGACGUCAAAUCCUCAUGGCCCUUACGACCAGGGCUA